rnacentral:tRNA from 1 species
CGGGGCGUGGCGCAGCCUGGUAGCGCACCUGCAUGGGGUGCAGGGGGCCGCCCGUUCGAAUCGGGCCGCCCCGACCA